UACGUAGGGGGCAAGCGUUGUCCGGAAUCAUUGGGCGUAAAGAGCGCGUAGGCGGCCCUGUAAGUCCGCUGUGAAAGUCAAGGGCUCAACCCUGGGAUGCCGGUGGAUACUGUCGAGCUCGAGUCCGGAAGAGGCGAGUGGAAUUCCUGGUGUAGCGGUGAAAUGCGCAGAUAUCAGGAGGAACACCAAUGGCGAAGGCAGCUCGCUGGGACGUGACUGACGCUGAGACGCGAAAGCGUGGGGAGCAAACAGG
rnacentral:rRNA from 1 species